rnacentral:rRNA from 1 species
ACAAGCGGUGGAGUAUGUGGUUUAAUUCGAUGCAACGACGAAGAACCUUACCUGGUCUUGACAUCCCGGAGACCCUUAGGAAACUAGGGGGUGCUUCCAUCUGGAAGAAUCUGGAGACAGGUGCUGCAUGGCUGUCGUCAGCUCGUGUCGUGAGAUGUUGGGUUAAGUCCCGCAACGAGCGCAACCCUUGCCUUUAGUUGCCAGCAGUUCGGCUGGGCACUCUAAAGGGACUGCCGGUGUUAAACCGGAGGAAGGUGGGGAUGACGUCAAGUCCUCAUGGCCUUUAUGACCAGGGCUACACACGUACUACAAUGGCCGAUACAAAGGGCAGCGACACUGCGAGGUGAAGCCAAUCCCGUAAAAUCGGUCUCAGUCCGGAUUGGAGUCUGCAACUCGACUCCAUGAAGUUGGAAUCGCUAGUAAUCGUGGAUCAGCAUGCCACGGUGAAUACGUUCCCGGGCCUU